rnacentral:rRNA from 1 species
UACGUAGGGUGCGAGCGUUGUCCGGAUUUAUUGGGCGUAAAGAGCUCGUAGGUGGUUUGUUGCGUCGGAAGUGAAAACUUGGGGCUUAACUCCAGGCUUGCUUUCGAUACGGGCAGACUUGAGGGAUGUAGGGGAGAACGGAAUUCCUGGUGGAGCGGUGGAAUGCGCAGAUAUCAGGAGGAACACCGGUGGCGAAGGCGGUUCUCUGGACAUUUCCUGACGCUGAGGAGCGAAAGCGUGGGGAGCAAACAGG